rnacentral:misc_RNA from 1 species
CACGUGAACCGUAUCAAAACUUAGUUGGGGGUCUCUUUCGGCGGCGGCUGCUGGCUUCAUUGCUGGCGGCUGCUGUUGGGAGAGCUCUAUCAUGGCGAGCGUUUGGGCUUCGGUCUGAACUAGUAGCUUUUUUAAACCCAUUCUUUAUAACUGAUUAUACUGUAGGGACGAAAGUCUCUGCUUUUAACUAGAUAGCAACUUUCAGCAGUGGAUGUCUAGGCUCGCACAUCGAUGAAGAACGCUGCGAACUGCGAUACGUAAUGCGAAUUGCAGGAUUCAGUGAGUCAUCGAAAUUUUGAACGCAUAUUGCACUUCCGGGUUAGUCCUGGGAGUAUGCCUGUAUCAGUGUCCGUACAUCAAACUUGGUUUUCUUCCUUCCGUGUAGUCGGUGGUGGAUGUGCCAGAUGUGAAGUGUCUUGCGGCUGGUCUUCGGAUCGGCUGUGAGUCCUUUGAAAUGUACUGAACUGUACUUCUCUUUGCUCCAAAAGCGUGGCGUUGCUGAUUGUGGAGGCUGCUUGCGUAGCCAGUCUGGCGACCAGUUUGUCUGCUGUGGCAUUAAUGGAGGAGUGUUCGAUUCGCGGUAUGGUUGGCUUCGGCUGAACAGACGCUUAUUAAAUAUUUCUUCAGCUGUGGUGGUAUGAUUG